rnacentral:rRNA from 1 species
UACGUAGGGUGCAAGCGUUGUCCGGAAUUAUUGGGCGUAAAGAGCUCGUAGGCGGUUUGUCGCGUCUGCUGUGAAAACUCGGGGCUUAACCCCGGGCCUGCAGUGGGUACGGGCAGACUAGAGUGCGGUAGGGGAGACUGGAAUUCCUGGUGUAGCGGUGAAAUGCGUAGAUAUCGUAAGGAAGACCAGUGGCGAAGGCGGGUCUCUGGACAGUUCCUGACGCUGAGGCACGAAGGUCAGGGGGAGCAAACGGGG